GGUCAAAACUAGCAGGACCCUUAGAGAUAAUCUAGCCCCAACUGCUCCUCUUGUAGAUGGAGAAACUGAAGCCCAGGGGAGGAAAGCAGCUUAUCCAAGAUCAUACACAGCAUCAGAGCUUAAACCAACAUGACCUGGCAGGACAUUUCAGCGAAAUAUGGUGCUCGGCAACAAGAAAAGCACAAAGCUGUAGUGGGAGGACCUUGGCCCAAUGUGCCCUGCUGUGUUCCUCAGCUCACCCCUGAACCACGGUGUGCUGGAAUGAGCUCCUGAUGGGACUCACACGGGGACUCCAUCCUCUCCAUCUUUGCGUGCCGCACCCAGCAUCCAUGACUGGCCCGAACCAUGGUCUCACGGGAAAAAACACGAAUCAGCCACCCCGAGGGAAGCACACCGAGGUGUACAGUUCAGCGGCAUCAUCCACAUGGUUUUGCAAAUAUCACAGCCAUCCAUCUCCAGAACUUUCUCAUCUUCCCAAACUGAAAUAUGUCCCCAUUUAACACAAACUCUCCCUGCCUUCCUCCCCCGGCCUCUGGGAACCACCUUUCUGCAUCUGUCUCAAUGAGUCUGACUACUGGAGGAAUCCUUCCGUAAGUGGAAUCAAAUCGUAUUUGUCCUUUUGUCACUAGUUGGCUUCACUCGGCAUCAUGUCUUUGAGGUUCAUCUACACUAUCGCAAACGUCAGAAUUCCCUCGCUCUUUAAGACUGAAUCACCUCCCUGCUCAUGUAUGUUCCACAUCUGGUUGACCUGUCUACCUUUUAGCUAUUUUUUAAACAAUGUCUCUAUGAGCAUGGGUGUGCAAAUGGCUGCUUGAGUCCCUGCCUCCACUUACCUGGGGUCAGAAGCUGACUUGCGGGAUGGGGUGGAAGUCUGAUGAAGUUGAUUGGAGGAGCCACCCAUUCUUCACCGUGGUUGUGCUAUUCCACAUCCCCAAGAGCUGUCUACAAGGGUUCUGAUGUCUCCACAGCCUCUCCAGCGCUGGCAUUGUCUGUUUUUGGUUCUUAAGUUAUUGCUCUUGCUCUAGCCAUCCUGAACCACCUACAGGGUGGUUAGCGAUGUGACGAGUGAUGUCGAGCAUCUUUGUGUGAGCGUGCUGUUCCUUUGUUUUUCCUCUCUGGAGAAACAUCUUGUCAAGUGCUUGGAAUGUUUUUUAA
ensembl:lincRNA